GUACGGACUUGAAAAUCCGUUGGCUUUAUUGACCGUGAGGGUUCAAGUCCCUCUACCCCA
rnacentral:tRNA from 1 species